AAAAUGAACAAUUUAUUGCAAAAAGCAAUUUAUAAAUAAAUAAAUAGCGUGAAAAGUAACAAAUGUAAAGUAUAUUUUGCAUUUUAUAUUCGAUGCAAUUUUGUAAGUAUACAAACAAUAAAUUAAAUUUAACAUGGCAGUUUUUACAAAUGUAAGGAAACAUAAAUGUAGACAAUGCUUCAUAGUGAAGAAAUCGGAAGCAGUGUAGCAUUGACAACAUACCUAUACCAAAAGUAGAAACAGCGUAGACACUGAGAGCAGUAUAGAAAAGAAACAUGCAUAUACCAUAAAUAGAAACAGUGUAGAAAUCGUGAGCAGUAUAGAAAAGAAACAUGCAUAUACCAUAGAAACAGUGUAGAAAUCGUGAGCAGUACAGAAAAGAAACAUGCAUAUACCAUAAAUAGGUGCAUAUACCAUAAAUAGAAACAGUGUAGAAAUCGUGAGCAGUAUAGAAAAGAAACGUGCAUAUACCAUAAAUAGAAACAGUGUAGAAAUCGUGAGCAGUACAGAAAAGAAACAUGCAUAUACCAUAAAUAGAAACAGUGUAGAAAUCGUGAGCAGUACAGAAAAGAAACGUGCAUAUACCAUAAAUAGAAACAGUGUAGAAAUCGUGACAUAUACCAAAGUAAACACAGAGUAUAGACAUUGACAGCUGUAUAGAAAAGAAACACAUAUAUCA